rnacentral:rRNA from 1 species
UACAGAGGGUGCAAGCGUUGUUCGGAAUUAUUGGGCGUAAAGCGCGUGUAGGCGGCUUUGCAAGUCGGGUGUGAAAGCCCUCAGCUCAACUGAGGAGGUGCGCCCGAAACUGCAGAGCUUGAGUGCCGGAGAGGGAUGCGGAAUUCCAGGUGUAGCGGUGAAAUGCGUAGAUAUCUGGAGGAACACCGGUGGCGAAGGCGGCAUCCUGGACCGACACUGACGCUGAGGAGCGAAAGCCAGGGGAGCAAACGGG